rnacentral:misc_RNA from 1 species
AACCUAGCACACCUGCGGUGUGUACCUGCGGAAGGAUCAUUACCGAGUUUACAACUCCCAAACCCCUGUGAACAUACCUAUACGUUGCCUCGGCGGAUCAGCCCGCGCCCCGUAAAACGGGACGGCCCGCCCGAGGACCCUAAACUCUGUUUUUAGUGGAACUUCUGAGUAAAACAAACAAAUAAAUCAAAACUUUUAGCAACGGAUCU